rnacentral:rRNA from 1 species
UACGAGGGGGGCGAGCGUUGUUCGGAAUUAUUGGGCGUAAAGGGUGCGUAGGCGGUUCCGCAAGUCCUGUGUGAAAUCUUCGGGCUCAACUCGAAGUCUGCACGGGAAACUGCGGGGCUUGAGUGUGGGAGAGGUGAGUGGAAUUCCCGGGUGUAGCGGUGAAAUGCGUAGAUAUUCGCAAGAACACCAGUGGCGAAGGCGGCUCACUGGCCCGGUACUGACGCUGAGGUGCGAAAGCGUGGGGGAGCAAA